rnacentral:rRNA from 1 species
GAUGAACGCUGGCGGCGUGCCUAAUACAUGCAAGUCGAGCGAACAGGUGAGGAGCUUGCUCCUCUGACGUUAGCGGCGGACGGGUGAGUAACACGUGGAUAACCUACCUAUAAGACUGGGAUAACUUCGGGAAACCGGAGCUAAUACCGGAUAAUAUAUUGAACCGCAUGGUUCAAUAGUGAAAGUCGGUUUUGCUGUCACUUAUAGAUGGAUCCGCGCCGAAUUAGCUAGUUGGUAAGGUAACGGCUUACCAAGGCAACGAUGCGUAGCCGACCUGAGAGGGUGAUCGGCCACACUGGAACUGAGACACGGUCCAGACUCCUACGGGAGGCAGCAGUAGGGAAUCUUCCGCAAAGGGCGAAAGCCUGACGGAGCAACGCCGCGUGAGUGAUGAAGGUCUUCGGAUCGUAAAACUCUGUUAUUAGGGAAGAACAAAUGUGUAAGUAACUAUGCACGUCUUGACGGUACCUAAUCAGAAAGCCACGGCUAACUACGUG